CAGCAGCCGCGGUAAUACGAAGGUCCCGAGCGUUAUUCGGAAUCACUGGGCGUAAAGAGUACGUAGGCGGUCAGGUAAGUCAGAUGUGAAAUCCCGGAGCUCAACUCCGGAACUGCAUCCGAUACUGCAUGACUUGAGUAAUGGAGGGGCAGGUGGAAUUCUCGGUGUACCAGUGAAAUGCGUGGAUAUCGAGAGGAAGACCAAUGGCGAAGGCAGCCUGCUGGACAUUUACUGACGCUGAGGUACGAAGGCCAGGGUAGCGAAAGGGAUUAGAUACCCCUGUAGUCCUGGCAGUAAACGGUGCGCGCUUGGUGUAGGAGGACUCGACCCCUUCUGUGCCGGAGCUAACGCGUUAAGCGCGCCGCCUGGGGAGCACGGUCGCAAGACUAAAACUCAAAGAAAUUGACGGGGACCCGCACAAGCGGUGGAGUAUGUGGCUUAAUUCGAUGCAACGCGAAGAACCUUACCUAGGCUUGACAUGUAUUGCUAUGGCACGUGAAAGCGUGUGACCCUUCGGGGACAUUACACAGGUGCUGCAUGGCCGUCGUCAGCUCGUGUCGUGAGAUGUUGGGUUAAGUCCAGCAACGAGCGCAACCCCUGUGAAUAGUUGCCAGCACGUAAUGGCGGGGACUCUAUUCAGACUGCCCAGGUCAACUGGGAGGAAGGUGGGGAUGACGUCAGGUCAGUAUGGCCCUUACGCCUAGGG
rnacentral:rRNA from 1 species